GACGGACGCUGGCGGCGUGCUUAACACAUGCAAGUCGAACGGAAAGGCCCUGCUUUUGUGGGGUGCUCGAGUGGCGAACGGGUGAGUAACACGUGAGUAACCUGCCCUUGACUUUGGGAUAACUUCAGGAAACUGGGGCUAAUACCGGAUAGGAGCUCCUGCUGCAUGGUGGGGGUUGGAAAGUUUCGGCGGUUGGGGAUGGACUCGCGGCUUAUCAGCUUGUUGGUGGGGUAGUGGCUUACCAAGGCUUUGACGGGUAGCCGGCCUGAGAGGGUGACCGGCCACAUUGGGACUGAGAUACGGCCCGGACUCCUACGGGAGGCAGCAGUGGGGAAUAUUGCACAAUGGGCGGAAGCCUGAUGCAGCAACGCCGCGUGCGGGAUGACGGCCUUCGGGUUGUAAACCGCUUUCGCCUGUGACGAAGCGUGAGUGACGGUAAUGGGUAAAGAAGCACCGGCUAACUACGUG
rnacentral:rRNA from 1 species